rnacentral:rRNA from 1 species
UGCAGUCGAACGAUGAAGGGAGCUUGCUCCUGGAUUAGUGGCGAACGGGUGAGUAACACGUGAGUAACCUGCCCUUGACUCUGGGAUAAGCCUGGGAAACUGGGUCUAAUACCGGAUAUGACUGAUCAUCGCAUGGUGGUUGGUGGAAAGCUUUUUGUGGUUUUGGAUGGACUCGCGGCCUAUCAGCUUGUUGGUGAGGUAAUGGCUUACCAAGGCGACGACGGGUAGCCGGCCUGAGAGGGUGACCGGCCACACUGGGACUGAGACACGGCCCAGACUCCUACGGGAGGCAGCAGUGGGGAAUAUUGCACAAUGGGCGCAAGCCUGAUGCAGCGACGCCGCGUGAGGGAUGACGGCCUUCGGGUUGUAAACCUCUUUCAGUAGGGAAGAAGCCUUUCGGGGUGACGGUACCUGCAGAAGAAGCGCCGGCUAACUACGUGCCAGCAGCCGCGGUAAUACGUAGGGCGCAAGCGUUAUCCGGAAUUAUUGGGCGUAAAGAGCUCGUAGGCGGUUUGUCGCGUCUGCCGUGAAAGUCCGGGGCUCAACUCCGGAUCUGCGGUGGGUA